rnacentral:rRNA from 1 species
AGCACCGCCGCGGUAAUACGGAGGAUCCGAGCGUUAUCCGAAAUUAUUGGGUUUAAAGGGUGCGUAGGCGGAUAGAUAAGUCAGUGGUGAAAGACGGUGGCUCAACCAUCGCAGUGCCGUUGAUACUGUUUAUCUUGAAUAUGGAUGAGGUAGGCGGAAUGUGGCAAGUAGCGGUGAAAUGCAUAGAUAUGCCACAGAACACCGAUUGCGAAGGCAGCUUACCAAGGCAAAAUUGACGCUGAGGCACGAAAGCGUGGGGAUCGAACAGGAUUAGAGACCCCGGUAGUCCCUGUCUCUUAUACA